rnacentral:lncRNA from 1 species
AAUAGAGAGAGAAGUCAAAAUGAAGUCAAAUUGAAUAUUUCGCACAAUAAGGAAACCUGGAUUAGAAGCAUGUGCUGCUCUCAGACCUGGCCUACAGAGAAGAACUGACACAGACUUCCUUAGAUGUGUUGUCUUCCUGUCACUGGUGCAUUCCUUAUCAAUGUGCAGCUAAAUAAGCACUGGCCUGGAGAUAAGCACUAGUGAAAGAAUUUGCAGCUCAUCCACUGCUGGACCCUGAUUAAGUGACCCCCUGUUCCACAAGCCAUGACUCCAGCUUUGACUGGACAAGAGACUGAUUUCAGUAGCUUUUUUUCAUAUAAGAAGACCAUUGACUGUGGAAUGAUUCCAGAGGCUGCACACUGUCAGGACUUCAUGUCCUGAAAAGACCUUUUGACAUGUACGGCCUGAUUGCAAUGCAUUUGAAUGUUGUCUCCACCCUAAAGUGAACAUGGAUCAUAUGUUACAUGCACGUUUGUUCAAUGCCCAUGUGGCAAGACCCCUUGAUGAAUAUUCGUAACUCCUCCUGUAACCUGUUGAAUAUGUAUGUCCUACCCCAACCCCUCCUCCUUCAUGGUGCCUGUCUUUGGUCUUGACUAGAGGCCAACCUGCAGGUUGGCCACCUGGCAGGCUGUAACCCUAAGAAAUAAAAACUUCUUUUCUCCUUUUCAAAAUGUAUAAAUUGUGAUUUCUAUUAAGUCAACAAUGUCCAGGAAUAAUGUUAUUCUUGAGACAGUUUUAUGAUCUGAGCUUUGUUCAAAAACUGGAAAAGUUACAAAGUAAAACCAUAAUUUUCUUUAGUGGGUUAACUGUGUGCCAAUUUAAAUUUAAUUUUUUCAGCUGUGUUGAGGAAAAAUUUAUGCCUCCGAAGCUGCACAUGUAGAAAUUUCACAAUUUGAAGAAUUUUCACAUAUGUAUGCUGGGUGAAACCACACCAUAAUCAAGAUACCCAACAUUUCUACCUUCCCCAAAAGUUUCUUCACACCGUUGUGCAUUCAUCUCUUCAUUCAACCCUUUCUCUGCAAUCAAUGGUUUACUUCUCGUCAGUAUGGAUUAAUUUGCAAUUUCAAGAAUGUUGUAUAAAUGAAAUUAUAGAGCAGUACGUUUUUGUCUGAUUUUAUUCACUCACAGAAUUAUUUCAAGAUCCAUCCAUAUUGUUGCAUGAUUCAGAAGGCUGCUCUUUUUAUAUUGCUGAGUAGUUUUCAAUGGAAUAUACUACAUUUUGUAUAUCCAUAAGCCUAUCAUGUGCAUUUUGGAAUGUUUCCAUUUUUUUGGUAAUUGCAAAUAAAACUGCAAUGAACACUCAUGUAUAAGUCUUUGUAUAGACAUGUAUGGCUUUCUU